rnacentral:rRNA from 1 species
GAUGAACGCUGGCGGCGUGCCUAAUACAUGCAAGUCGAGCGAGACUCUUCGGAGUCUAGCGGCGGACGGGUGAGUAACACGUGGGCAACCUGCCUGUAAGACUGGGAUAACACCGGGAAACCGGUGCUAGUACCGGAUAAUCCUUUUCCUCUCAUGAGGGAAAGCUGAAAGUCGGUUUCGGCUGACACUUACAGAUGGGCCCGCGGCGCAUUAGCUAGUUGGUGAGGUAACGGCUCACCAAGGCGACGAUGCGUAGCCGACCUGAGAGGGUGAUCGGCCACACUGGGACUGAGACACGGCCCAGACUCCUACGGGAGGCAGCAGUAGGGAAUCUUCCACAAUGGACGAAAGUCUGAUGGAGCAACGCCGCGUGAGCGAUGAAGGCCUUCGGGUCGUAAAGCUCUGUUGUUAGGGAAGAACAAGUAUCGGAGUAACUGCCGGUACCUUGACGGUACCUAACCAGAAAGCCACGGCUAACUACGUGCCAGCAGCCGCCGUAACAC